rnacentral:rRNA from 1 species
GACGAACGCUGGCGGCGUGCUUAACACAUGCAAGUCGAAGGAGUGGCGAACGGGUGAGUAUUACGUGGGUAACCUGCCCUAACUGGGGGAUAAGCCUGGGAAACUGGGUCUAAUACUGCAUAGUUGGGGAUGGGCUCGCGGCCUAUCGGCUUGUUGGGGGGGUGAUGGCCUACCAAGGCGGUGACGGGUAGCCGGCCUGAGAGGGUGAACGGCCACAUUGGGACUGAGACACGGCCCAAACUCCUACGGGAGGCAGCAGUGGGGAAUCUUCCGCAAUGGGCGCAAGCCUGACGGAGCAAUGCCGCGUGAGUGAAGAAGGCCUUCGGGUUGUAAAGCUCUGUCCGCAUCCAAGCGGUAGCUGAGGAGGAAGCCCCGGCUAACUAUGUGCCAGCAGCCGCGGUAAUAC